AUUGAACGCUGGCGGCAUGCCUUACACAUGCAAGUCGAACGGCAGCACGGGUGCUUGCACCUGGGGGCGAGUGGCGAACGGGUGAGUAAUACAUCGGAACAUUUCCUUUGGUGGGGGGUUACCUUGCGGGAGCCGGAUUAAUACCCCGAUCGAUCUACGUGUGACAUGGGGGGGCUUGCAGGGCUCCGGCGGUUGGGUUUGGCGUCGGCGGAUUUGCUAGUUGGGGGGGUGAAGGCCUAUCAAGGGGGCGAUCCGUAGAUGGUGGGAGAGGGCGAUCAGCCACACUGGGACUGAGCCACGGACCAGACUCCUACGGGAGGCAGCAGUGGGGAAUUUUGGACAAUGGGCGAGAGCCUGAUACAGCAAUGCCACGUGUGUGAAGAAAGCCUUCGGGUUGUAAAGCACUUUUGUCCGGAAAGAAAUCCUUGGCCCUAAUACGGUCGGGGGAUGACGGUACCGGAAGAAUAAGCACCGGCUAACUACGUG
rnacentral:rRNA from 1 species